UGGUGAGGUAAAGGCUUACCAAGGCGUCGAUCAGUAGCUGGUCUGAGAGGACGACCAGCCACACUGGGACUGAGACACGGCCCAGACUCCUACGGGAGGCAGCAGUGGGGAAUUUUGGACAAUGGGGGAAACCCUGAUCCAGCCAUGCCGCGUGAGUGAAGAAGGCCUUCGGGUUGUAAAGCUCUUUCAGCCGGAACGAAACGGUCACAGCUAAUACCUGUGACUACUGACGGUACCGGAAGAAGAAGCACCGGCUAACUACGUGCCAGCAGCCGCGGUAAUACGUAGGGUGCGAGCGUUAAUCGGAAUUACUGGGCGUAAAGCGUGCGCAGGCGGUUUUGUAAGUCAGAUGUGAAAUCCCCGGGCUUAACCUGGGAACUGCGUUUGAAACUAC
rnacentral:rRNA from 1 species